rnacentral:tRNA from 1 species
GGGCCUGUGGCGCAGUUGGGAGCGCGCCUCGUUCGCAUCGAGGAGGUCGGGGGUUCGAAUCCCCCCAGGUCCA